AGUUCCCUUGAUGGUACAAGUUGCAUAUGUGCCGCUUGCUCAUUUCUGUUUCCCACGGUACAUAACCCCUCUCGCAAAAAUGGCGUAACCUUAUCGGAUAAGCGUCUUCCUCCGGGGAAAAAACAGAAGGGGAUGGCCGUGCUAUGACAUUGUGGGUCCAUACUCCCGCGGCAAAGCUUCUGCGAAAAAAAACUAUCCUUCGAGACGCUGCACGACGGCAGGGAUGCAUAGCUAUGGCGACGGCGGAGGCGACAGGCGAGGGCUUGGAGUUCCUAUCGGAGCCAGUUUACAGGUUUCCUCUGCCAGAUCUCACCGCCGAUGAAUCGCUGCUGACCGGCGGAGGCAACCAAACUUUCGUAUGCACGGCUACCGAAUCCAGUAUCGGUGAUGUGGGCGAUGCGGCGGUGACAUGGGAACUAGAUUUGCAGAGCGAAUGCAAUGGAGUGGCUCUGUCCGCGCCGAACUCAGAGCAGUCGAUGGGCAAAGACGAUCCUCAGGCGCCGGGCUGGACCAAGAGACUGCGUGUUGGGCAUGCACCUGAAGUCCUGAAGAACGCCCUCCGUGUGCUGGCAGAAUGAGUGCUCUUGAAAAAACAUUGAGAAGAAAACUGACUGUUGUUUCUUUGUGGCAUUUGCAGGGGAUUCCGAAGAAAAGCAACACCCGGACUUGCCGGUGCAGGUGCCCCGCGCUCAUACGAUUGCUCCGAUCAAAGGACAAUGGAUGGUACAUAAGUGAGUUCAUACCAUCACACAACCAUUCGUUAAUGGAGAAGUGUGGCGAGAAGGUGUACUAGCCCUCACAGAGACAUAUCGAUAUAUACACAUGUGAUGUGGUUAAGCAGCUCCGUGAAAAUAACAAUAGCAUUGGCAAGGUUUACAAUAUAAUUUGUAGUUUCUUUGGUUCAAUGUCCAAUGUGCCAUUCACCAAAAGAGUGUUGAGGGGGCUAUGUGGCAAGAUCAGCCGUGAGCAAGCAGACGAUGAUGUCAGGAAGACAAUGGAUGCUUUUGCUGAGUUGGGAGCAAAAGAUAUUGGUCUGUACUACAGAGUGCAGCCGGAUGAGGAUAGCCGCAUACGGAAUUUGUUAUGGUCAACUGGAUCAAGCAGGGCCCAGUACCACUUCUUUGGAGAUGCAAUAACAUUUGAUACAACAUACCGUACCGACCUCUAUGACAUGCCAUUUGGCCUGUUUGUGGGAGUCAACAACCACUUCCAGACCAUGAUAUUUGGUGUCGUCCUAGUAAGAGAUGAGAUAGUCGAGACUUUUCAGUGGGUUCACUGAAUUCAUCCGCAUGAUGGGCGGAAAACAUCCACAAACUUUGCUUACAGAUCAAUGCAGGUCCAUGGAGAUAGCAAUGGAGAAAGUGAUGCCAGAAACCACUCACCGCUGGUGCAAGUGGCACGUGCUGAAGAAGGCAAAGGAAUCUCUGGGACCAUACUACACAAAGCGCAACAAAUUCAGGUCAGAGUUCCACAAGAUAAUACAUCACAUGCUGACACUGGAGGAAUUCGAAACUGCAUGGAAGCAACUGACAGAAUCACAUGGCUUGGAAAAACAUCCUUACCUUACUCACAUCUAUGAAACAAGAGCAAAAUGGGCUAAACCAUACUUCAAAGGGAAGCAAGUGAAAACUAUGAGGAGAGACGCACAAAAAUUGUAGCCCCAGUAUUGAAAAUGAACACACCAAUAGAGUUGCAUGCAAGCAGAGUCUAUACACGAACCAUGUUCUAAAAAUUUGGUGAGAUUAUAUACGGAGCAGGUCAAUACAGAGUAGAGGAGGUGACUAGACAGAAAACCUACUUGGUGCAACGAUACCACCCAGAAAAAUAUGAGAAGUGGUGCAGGAUUGUCUACAAAGUAGAACUUGCCGUCGAAGGGAAUGAGUUGAUAUGUGAGUGUUCUAGUUUCGAACACACAGGUCUGCUAUGCUGCCAUUCAGUGAAGGUAAAAAGUAAAUCCCUUGGUACAUGACGCGGCGUGAGCGUUACACACAAACCUGUAUGAUAUGCCAUUUGGGCUGCUUGUGAGAGUCAAUAAUCACUUCCAGAGCAUGAUUUUUGGUGGCGUGCUAGUAAGAGAUGGGACAGUGGAAACUUUUCAAUGGGUGUUCACUGGAUUUACCCGCAUGAUGGGCGACAAACAUCCACAAACCGUGCUCACAGAUCAAUGCAAGGCGAUGGAAGUAGCAAUAGAGAAAGUGAUGCCAUACACGACUCACCGUUGCUGCAAGUGGCACGUGCAAUUGGUAAUUUCAUGGGGCUAAAAGCUCCAGAACGAAAACAAAAGCCCGGUCGACCAAUCACUUGCAGGGAUAAACCUCCGUAUGAUGAUCGUGGUGCAAAAAGCAAGAAGUACAUACUGACAGCAAAUGCACAAGCUGGAAAUGGAUGCGGGACAAGUAAACGAACUCGCUUCUCCAGUAUAUGUUGAGAACCAGGGCACAAGAUCACCACAUGUCCACAAUGAGGUGAUCUUCCUCAAAAAGAAAGGAAAGCGGCAAAAUGCUCGAAUUGUGGCGUCAGUGGUCACAGGAAAAAUACCUGCAGCAAGCCUAGGGUUGAACUCCAUGUUGUUGAAAAUGCUACCUUAGAGCCAAAUGCAAUUUGCCGGCGACUUCAUUUAGAUUCAUUGUUUUUGUUCUGUGUUGUUGAGGGCUCUGUAGCUGUUAACUUUAACCGGAAGACUCUUGUUGUAAUAAUAACCGUCAGUGAAGUACGUGUUGUUUGUGGUCAGGUUGUCGCUGUGAUUUGAAUAUUUAUCAUGUAGAAGAAAAAAUGUAUGAGUUUAAGACUUGCCUAAUGUUGUAGUGUGCAUGUGCAUCUCCCCUUUUGUA